rnacentral:rRNA from 1 species
AGAGUUUGAUCAUGGCUCAGGACGAACGCUGGCGGCGUGCCUAAUACAUGCAAGUCGAGCGGACUUUAAAAGCUUGCUUUUAAAGUUAGCGGCGGACGGGUGAGUAACACGUGGGCAACCUGCCUGUAAGACUGGGAUAACUUCGGGAAACCGGAGCUAAUACCGGAUAACCCUUUUCCUCUCAUGAGGAAAAGCUGAAAGACGGUUUACGCUGUCACUUACAGAUGGGCCCGCGGCGCAUUAGCUAGUUGGUGAGGUAACGGCUCACCAAGGCGACGAUGCGUAGCCGACCUGAGAGGGUGAUCGGCCACACUGGGACUGAGACACGGCCCAGACUCCUACGGGAGGCAGCAGUAGGGAAUCUUCCGCAAUGGACGAAAGUCUGACGGAGCAACGCCGCGUGAGUGAUGAAGGUUUUCGGAUCGUAAAACUCUGUUGUUAGGGAAGAACAAGUACAAGAGUAACUGCUUGUACCUUGACGGUACCUAACCAGAAAGCCACGGCUAACUACGUGCCAGCAGCCGCGGUAAUACGUAGGUGGCAAGCGUUGUCCGGAAUUAUUGGGCGUAAAGCGCGCGCAGGCGGUCCUUUAAGUCUGAUGUGAAAGCCCACGGCUCAACCGUGGAGGGUCAUUGGAAACUGGGGGACUUGAGUGCAGAAGAGAAGAGUGGAAUUCCACGUGUAGCGGUGAAAUGCGUAGAGAUGUGGAGGAACACCAGUGGCGAAGGCGACUCUUUGGUCUGUAACUGACGCUGAGGCGCGAAAGCGUGGGGAGCAAACAGGAUUAGAUACCCCUGGUAGUCCACGCCGUAAACGAUGAGUGCUAAGUGUUAGAGGGUUUCCGCCCUUUAGUGCUGCAGCAAACGCAUUAAGCACUCCGCCUGGGGAGUACGGCCGCAAGGCUGAAACUCAAAGGAAUUGACGGGGGCCCGCACAAGCGGUGGAGCAUGUGGUUUAAUUCGAGGCAACGCGAAGAACCUUACCAGGUCUUGACAUCCUCUGACACUCCUAGAGAUAGGACGUUCCCCUUCGGGGGACAGAGUGACAGGUGGUGCAUGGUUGUCGUCAGCUCGUGUCGUGAGAUGUUGGGUUAAGUCCCGCAACGAGCGCAACCCUUGAUCUUAGUUGCCAGCAUUCAGUUGGGCACUCUAAGGUGACUGCCGGUGACAAACCGGAGGAAGGUGGGGAUGACGUCAAAUCAUCAUGCCCCUUAUGACCUGGGCUACACACGUGCUACAAUGGAUGGUACAAAGGGCAGCAAAACCGCGAGGUCGAGCAAAUCCCAUAAAACCAUUCUCAGUUCGGAUUGUAGGCUGCAACUCGCCUACAUGAAGCUGGAAUCGCUAGUAAUCGCGGAUCAGCAUGCCGCGGUGAAUACGUUCCCGGGCCUUGUACACACCGCCCGUCACACCACGAGAGUUUGUAACACCCGAAGUCGGUGGGGUAACCUUUUGGAGCCAGCCGCCUAAGGUGGGAUAGAUGAUUGGGGUGAAGUCGUAACAAGGUAACCGUA